UACUGCUAAAUGCUAAGCAUGUUUCAGAAAACCAAUGCCUUCUCAAGUUCCAGAGCAAGAAUCCUCCACAGCCACCUCUUCAGAUGAAUCAUAUGCCCUGAUGACGCUCUUGUUUACAGUGUAUUACACAUGAGCUAAAUGCUGCAUCUAAGUGGACAUGCUCUUGUACAGCAUUAAGGGUAUCACAACUCUACCAAAGUCCAGGGGUGCUGAAGACAUUGGACAAUUAAUCCUCUAUUUUACUUGUAAAAUUUUAAUGUCUCGAGAACCUAUUGGUCGCAAUGCCUAGUAACUUGUGACAAAAUAUUGGAAUAAUUUUGACAACAAACAAUCAACUAAUACAGUUUCUUGUCCAAUUUAGUAUCUCCAUCUUGUUUUGAACUACUACUGCUUGGGUAAGCUGAGGAUUUUGAUCUGUUGGACUCCAAGAGCUGUGUAUGUAGAAAAAAUUCUUGUGAGCUCAUUUCAUUAGAAAAUCUAAAUUAAGAUUUGAAAAUAAUUCAUCAAACCUUCUAGGUCCUACAGCAGACAACAGAUUAUGCAAAAAAUGCAUCAGUAGUUGCACUUGGAUACUAGAUUC
rnacentral:lncRNA from 1 species